CACUAAAGGCAUGAGGCAAGGCUUAAAUUGUGCAUGGAGUGAUUUCAUGAGAAACCUUUUCUCAUGUAAUAAAUAGGGCGUAAAAAAAGGGAUAAGGUGCAAAGAUUGAUUGCCUAUUCAAAUUCAAACUUUAUUUUGAAUUUGAAUGGCCAACCAAUCAUCCUUAUCCAUCCAUUUGGCACAUUAAAGUGGGGUGUGGAGAGGGCUUGGCGUGAGAAAAAAAUCCAUGAGAAGUUCCUUCUCAUGAAUCCAAAUGGGUGCAAUGGAAGUGAGGUGG
rnacentral:lncRNA from 1 species